rnacentral:rRNA from 1 species
UGAGGAAUUUUGCGCAAUGGGGGAAACCCUGACGCAGCAACGCCGCGUGAGUGAUGAAGGCUUUCGGGUCGUAAAGCUCUGUCAAGUGGGAAGAACCUGCUUCGUGAUAAUACCAUGAAGCACUGACGGUACCACUGAAGGAAGCACCGGCUAACUCCGUGCCAGCAGCCGCGGUAAUACGGGGGGUGCUAGCGUUAUUCGGAAUCAUUGGGCGUAAAGGGCGCGUAGGCGGUCUCUUAAGUCAGAUGUGAAAGCCCUCGGCUUAACCGAGGAAGUGCAUUUGAUACUAAGUGACUUGAGUAUGGGAGAGGGAAGCGGAAUUCCUGGUGUAGCGGUGAAAUGCGUAGAUAUCAGGAGGAACACCGGUGGCGAAGGCGGCUUCCUGGACCAAUACUGACGCUGAGGCGCGAAGGCGUGGGGAGCAAACA